rnacentral:rRNA from 1 species
GACGAACGCUGGCGGCGUGCUUAACACAUGCAAGUCGAACGGAAAGGCCCUGCUUGCGGGGGGCUCGCGAGGCGAGAGGGGGAGUAAAACAUGGGUGUAACCCGCCCUACUUUGGGGGAUGACUUGAGAACACGGGGGAUAACAGGGGAGAGGCGCUCCGGCUGCGGGGUGGUGGUAGGAUUGGUUUCGGUGAGGGGUGAGCUCGCGGCCGUUCAGCUUGUUGGUGGGGGGAUGGCCUACCAAGGCGUCGACGGGUGGCCGGCCGCAGAGGGGGGUCGGCCACAUUGUGACUGCGAUACGGCGCCGACUCCUACGGGGGGCAGCAGUGGGGAAUAUUGCACAAUGGGCGCAAGCCUGAUGCAGCGACGCCGCGUGGGGGAUGACGGCCUUCGGGUUGUAAACUCCUUUCAGCCAUGACGAAGCCCUUGUGGUGACGGUAGUGGUAGAAGAAGCACCGGCUAACUACGUG